GAUGAACGCUGGCGGCGUGCCUAAUACAUGCAAGUCGAGCGGUAAGGCUUUCACUCUGUGUUUAAUUUAUUUUAAACAUAGUGUGAAAGUACACGAGCGGCGGACGGCUGAGUAACGCGUAGGAAUGUAUCCCAAAGUGAGGAAUAACUGCCCGAAAGGGUGGCUAAUGCCGCAUGUGAUCUACGGAUUAAAGUCUUUUAGACGCUUUGGGAGCGGCCUGCGUAUGAUUAGCUUGUUGGUGAGGUAAUAGCUCACCAAGGCGACGAUCAUUAGCUGGUCUGAGAGGAUGAUCAGCCAGACUGGGACUGAGACACGGCCCAGACUUCUACGGAAGGCAGCAGUAGGGAAUUUUCCACAAUGGACGAAAGUCUGAUGGAGCAACGCCGCGUGCAGGAUGAAGGCCUUCGGGUUGUAAACUGCUUUUAUGGGUGAAGAAUUUGACGGUAACCCAAGAAUAAGGGACGGCUAACUACGUGCCAGCCGCCGCAGUAACAC
rnacentral:rRNA from 1 species